GGGGGCGAUCUGGUAUCGACCGGGCUUCAAGACGUCGAGGGUGGCGUGCAGAGAUUCCGGGAACCUCUCAAAACCCUGGAAAAACCUUUGAUUGCCAACAACAACCUGGCAUUGGCCGCUUAAGUGGCCCGCCGUCCAAGGACUUGCCCGCGAUCCUCGGACGGCGCAACGCAGCGGGCUGGUGCGUCCAAGUCCGCCUGAGCGCGGACGCACGAGAGCAUUCGGGCUGGCGCGAUCCGGAGCCUGUCGAUCGGCACCGGAGAGGGCGAGACAACAAUGAUCGACUACGCACGUAGAAGCCCCGACUGAAGGGCAGCGGGACGCGGGUUCAAUUCCCGCCGCCUCCAUUC
rnacentral:tmRNA from 1 species